rnacentral:lncRNA from 1 species
CUGAGGACAGAAAGGGGGGUUCAGGGAGGAUGGAACCAUCUACAGAAUUAAGGGCACUGUAUCUUCUAAGUUCCACAGUCAAGUCCAACAGAACCAGUUGCCUACAUAGUGCCUUAACCCCCAUUUGCAGAACCAGCCUCAGUGCUGAGAGUGACAGCCCUCUCUCCUCACCACAGCCUCCUCCUCCUCCUGCUGCUGUAACCCCUAAUCAUCCACAUUUAUCCCCAUCACCUUCCCUUAAAGAUGGUAGCUCAGCUUCUGAUUCUACCUCUUCAUAGCAAUCAGCUGCUCUGUGUCCUUGCUGGAGAGGGAACAGUCCUCAUGGCCAGGAAGUGUGGUGAGAAGCUUCUGGGAGGAGAAGUGAGCUGGUUCCUCUCCUCCCCUCACCAGGACCCCUAGGACCUCCAUCUUCCGAUCUGGAGCAGAGGUUUAGCCGGGAGAAAAGAUCAGGCCGGGAGCAAAGGGCGGGCCGGCGGCAGAGGUUUAACCGGAAGCAGAGGUUUAGCCUGGAAAAAAGAUCAGGCCGGGAGCAAAGGGCGGGCCGGGAGCAGAGGUUUAACCGGGAGCAGAGGUUUAGCCGGGAGAAAAGAACAGGCCGGGAGUAAAGGGCGGGCCGGGGGCAGAGGUUUAACCGGGAGCAGAGGUUUAGCCGGGAGAAAAGAUCAGGCCGGGAGCAAAGGGAGGGGCGGGGGCAGAGGUUUAACCCGGACCAGAGGUUUAGCGGGGAGAAAAGAUCAGGCGGGGAGCAAAGGGCGGGCCGGGGGCAGAGGUUUAACCGGGAGCAGAUGUUGGGCCGAGAGCAAAGGUUUAGCCGGGAGAAAAUAUCAGGCCGGGAGCAAAGGGCGGGCCGGCGGCAGAGGUUUAACCGGGAGCAGAGGUUUAGCCGGGAAAAAAGAUCAGGCCGGGAGCAAAGGGAGACCCGCAGAAAAGGUGGGGCCCGUAGCAAAGGUCAGGCCCGCAGAAAAUGUUAAUCCGAAAGAAAAAGAUCAGGUCGGAAGCACAGGUCAGGCCAGGAGCAGAGGUUUAGCUGGGAGAAAAGAUGGGGCUGGGAGCAAAUGGCGGGCCGGGGGCAGAGGUUUAACUGGGAGCAGAGGUUUAGCCGGGAGGAAAGAUCAAGCCGGGAGCAAAGGGCGGGCCGGGGGAGAGGUUUAACCGGGAGCAGAGGUUUAGCCGGGAGAAGAGAUCAGGCCGGGAGCAAAGGGCGGGCCGGGAGCAGAGGUUUAACCGGGAGCAGAGGUUUAGCCGGGAGAAAUGAUCAGGCCGGGAGCAAAGGGCGGGCCGGGGGCAGAGGUUUACCCGGGAGCAGUGGUUUAGCCGGGAGAAAAGAUCAGGCCGGGAGCAAAGGGCGGGGCGGGGGCAGAGGUUUAACCCGGAGCAGAGGUUUAGCCGGGAGAAAGGAUCAGGCCAGGAGCAAAGGGCUGGCCGGGAG